AUUGAACGCUGGCGGCAGGCCUAACACAUGCAAGUCGAACGAGUGGCGGACGGGUGAGUAAUGUCUGGGACACUGCCCGAUGGAGGGGGAUAACUACUGGAAACGGUAGCUAAUACCGCAUACCAUCGGAUGUGCCCAGAUGGGAUUAGCUAGUAGGUGGGGUAACGGCUCACCUAGGCGACGAUCCCUAGCUGGUCUGAGAGGAUGACCAGCCAAACUGGAACUGAGACACGGUCCAGACUACUAAGGGAGGCAGCAGUGGGGAAUAUUGCACAAUGGGCGCAAGCCGGAGAAAGCCAUGCCGCGGGUAUGAAGAAGGCCUUCGGGUUGUAAAGUACUUUAAGCGGGGAGGCGUUACCCGCAGAAGAAGCACCGGCUAACUCCGUGCCAGCAGCCGCGGGAAUAC
rnacentral:rRNA from 1 species